rnacentral:tRNA from 1 species
UAUUAGAACGCAAAAUUUUUGCGAAGGCCUCUUAAGCCUUUCAAUGGGCUCCCCUCUAAUUU